UGCUGUGAGCUCGAUGAGUAGGGCGGGACACGUGGUAUCCUGUCUGAAUAUGGGGGGACCAUCCUCCAAGGCUAAAUACUCCUGACUGACCGAUAGUGAACCAGUACCGUGAGGGAAAGGCGAAAAGAACCCCGGCGAGGGGAGUGAAAAAGAACCUGAAACCGUGUACGUACAAGCAGUGGGAGCACAGGUUUACCUGUGUGACUGCGUACCUUUUGUAUAAUGGGUCAGCGACUUAUAUUCUGUAGCAAGGUUAACCGAAUAGGGGAGCCGUAGGGAAACCGAGUCUUAACCGGGCGUUAAGUUGCAGGGUAUAGACCCGAAACCCGGUGAUCUAGCCAUGGGCAGGUUGAAGGUUGGGUAACACUAACUGGAGGACCGAACCGACUAAUGUUGAA
rnacentral:rRNA from 1 species